CCUACGUGAGGCAGCAGUGGGGAAUAUUGCACAAUGGGGGAAACCCUGAUGCAGCGACGCCGCGUGAGUGAAGAAGUUUUUCGGUAUGUAAAGUUCUAUCAGCAGGGAAGAAAAAAGACGGUACCUGACUAAGAAGCCCCGGCUAACUACGUGCCAGCAGCCGCGGUAAUACGGAGGGGGCAAGCGUUAUCCGGAUUUACUGGGUGUAAAGGGAGCGUAGGCGGAGAAGCAAGUCUGAAGGGAAAGCCCGUGGCUUAACCACGGGACUGCUUUGGAAACUGUUUUACUAGAGUGCGGGAGAGGUAAGUGGAAUUCCUGGUGUAGGGGUGAAAUGCGUAGAGAUUAGGAGGAACACCAGUGGCGAAGGCGGCUUACUAGACAAUAACUGACGUUGAGGCGCGAAAGCGUGGGGAGCAAACAGGAUUAGAUACCCGGGUAGUC
rnacentral:rRNA from 1 species